CCUACGGGAGGCAGCAGUGAGGAAUAUUGGUCAAUGGCCGGAAGGCUGAACCAGCCAAGCCGCGUGAAGGACGAAGGUGCCAAGCAUUGUAAACUUCUUUUGUCAAGGGACAAAAUCAGGCUCGAGAGCCUGACCGAGGGUACUUGAAGAAAAAGCAUCGGCUAACUCCGUGCCAGCAGCCGCGGUAAUACGGAGGAUGCGAGCGUUAUCCGGAUUUAUUGGGUUUAAAGGGUGCUGAGGCGGAAGGUUAAGUCAGCGGUAAAAUGUCGGUGCUCAACACCGGCCUGCCGUUGAAACUGGUCGUCUUGAGUGAGCGAGAAGUAUGCGGAAUGCGUGGUGUAGCGGUGAAAUGCAUAGAUAUCACGCAGAACUCCGAUUGCGAAGGCAGCAUACCGGCGUUCAACUGACGCUGAGGCACGAAAGCGUGGGGAUCGAACAGGAUUAGAUACCCCAGUAGUC
rnacentral:rRNA from 1 species